GAUGAAGAACGUAGCGAAAUGCGAUAAGUAGUGUGUAUUGCAGAAUUCAGUGAAUCAUCGAAUCUUUGAACGCACAUUGCGCCCCUUGGUAUCCCGAGGGGCAUGCCUGUUCGAGCGUCAUUUCACCACUCAAGCCUGGCUUGGUGUUGGGCGACGUCCUCUUUGGGGACGCGCCUCGAAACGCUCGGCGGCGUGGCACCGGCUUUAAGCGUAGCAGAAUCUUUCGCUUUGGAAGUCGGGGCCCCGUCUGCCGGAAGACCUGCUCGCAAGGUUGACCUCGGAUCAGGCAGGGAUACCCGCUGAACUUAAGCAUAUCAAUAAGCGGAGGA
rnacentral:misc_RNA from 1 species